AUAGCUUAUAUUUAAAUUGGUGCAUAUGACUAAUGCAAGAUAUUCUUGAGAUAUGUUAGCCAAUUUUGCAAUCUAUUUAUAUAUAUAUAUAUUUUAUAUUUUUAUUUUUAUAUGAAAAAACUAAAGCGAAUCCACCCAUCUACCAUCUAAUCCCUUCGACUAUUGCUCUAAACCUAACAAAAAAAAAUAUUUUUUUUAUAAAGAGCUAAACAAUGUCCGCGCAAAAAUUUCAACUUGCAUUUUUGCUUUUAACUUUUUGUGUUCUUUCUUCUCAAAUCAUCGCUAAACCAAUUGGUAAAUGUAACUACAAAGGUCCUUGCAAAACCGAUAAUGACUGCAAGACCAUAUGCACAGGUCCAGGGGAAGAUCCUACUUUUCUAAUGUGCAUUAAAAACCCUCCAUGGUACAAAUGUUGUUGUGCACCACGUCUCGACCGUCUAAAUAAAAACUUAUUUUGAUCUACAUCCAUAUGUAUUUUGUAUCAUCACCUACCAUAAGAUUUUACAUUAAUAAAAAUUAACUAUUAUCUGGAUCA